GCAAGUCGAACGAGGUAGCAAUACCUAGUGGCGCACGGGUGAGUAACGCGUGGAUAAUCUGCCCUUCACUGGGGAAUAACUAAUCGAAAGGUUAGCUGAUACCGCAUGAGGCCACAGUUUCUGAGGAAGCAGUGGUUAAAGAUUUAUUGGUGAAGGAUGAGUCUGCGUGGGAUUAGCUAGUUGGUGAGGUAAUGGCUCACCAAGGCUACGAUCUCUAACAGGUCUGAGAGGAUGACCUGUCACACUGGAACUGAGACACGGUCCAGACUCCUACGGGAGGCAGCAGUAGGGAAUAUUGCGCAAUGGACGAAAGUCUGACGCAGCGACGCCGCGUGAGUGAUGAAGGCCUUAGGGUCGUAAAGCUCUGUUGCAGGGGAAGAAAAAAAUGACGGUACCCUGCGAGAAAGGAUCGGCUAACUUCGUGCCAGCAGCCGCGGUAAGACGAGGGAUCCUAGCGUUGUUCGGAAUCAUUGGGCGUAAAGCGCAUGUAGGCUGCCAUUCAAGUCAGUUGUGAAAGCCCCGGGCUCAACCCGGGAAGUGCUUCUGAUACUGUUUGGCUUGAGUACUAGAGAGGAUAGUAGAAUUCCAGGUGUAGUGGUGAAAUACGUAGAUAUCUGGAGGAAUACCGG
rnacentral:rRNA from 1 species